rnacentral:lncRNA from 1 species
UGCAUCACAUGGAAUUGAAAGGCACAGACAGAAUAAUCAGCAGACUCUCACCAUGCAAGUGCCAAUACCACUGAGUAAUGAAAAGGAAAGCGUGGGUGAUACGUGCACGAGUGGAUGGACCUUCAGAUAUUAUACUAAGUAGUUUUAAGCCAAUUUCAAAAAGGUACAUACUGUAUUCCGUUUAUACAGCCUUCUCAAAAUAAUAAGCCUAUAGGAACAUAUUAGAUUAGAAAACUGAUUAGAUUUGCCAGGGAUUAUGGUCUCAGAAUAGAGAUGUUUCCAAAGAGAAGGCAAGAAAGUCUGUGGAGGAAGAGCUGCUCUGCGUCUCAAUUUUGGUGAUGUGUUUUUUUUUUUUUUUUUAAAUAGAACCACCCACAUGCGCAUGCGUGUGUGUAUAGCUGGUGAACACUCGGUCAGCUCUAUGGAUCGUUCCAAUGCCAGCAUCAUAAUGCUAACGUUUCAGUCUAGAUCUGUGAGGUGCUGAUGUUGCUGGAGGAGGGUGAAGAGUAUAUGGGGCCUCUUGUACACCUUUUCUACAAAUUCCUGUGAGUCUAUGAUUAUUUCAAGACAAAAAGGUUGAAAGAAAGCAUAUUAAUUGCUGUGUUGGCCCAUGUUAGAAAUGUAUUACUAGCGUUGACUGGGUCACACAGCUGUCUUUUGCAUCACAGCGGUAGACAAAACUGAGGAAAGGCUCCAAUAGGGGAGGACCUGAAUCCAGGCAACUGCUUCUCUGUGAAAAAAUGGCAUCACUCAGGACGCUUCCCAAGAAAUAUUUGAGCAGCACCUCAGCCAAUAUGCAACUGCCCCAAAGAGGAAAUGCAGGAGCACUGUAGAACCCAAAGGCAGCAUUUGAAAGAUUUUCACAGUGUGCAUCCCAUCCUUCCUCAUGACAGCCCUGGAAGAACCGAAGCUGAAGAAUCGUGUUGCCGCCCUUUGCAUCCAUGGCUUCCUCUGGUGAUGAGUUUCUCCCAGCGAGCAGAAAUCACCACUUGGCCACCAUUAAGCAAGUGCUCAUAA